GACGAACCGUGCGAACGUUAUUCGGAAUCACUGGGCUUAAAGCGCGUGUAGGCGGAAGGGCACGUCCGUUGCUGAAAUCCCCCGGCUCAACCGGGGAACGGGCGCGGAUACGACUCUUCUGGAGGGGCGUAGGGGGACCUGGAACUUCCGGUGGGGCGGUGAAAUGCGUUGAGAUCGGAAGGAACGCCCGUGGCGAAAGCGAGGUCCUGGACGCCUACUGACGCUGAGACGCGAAAGCCAGGGGAGCGAACGGG
rnacentral:rRNA from 1 species